rnacentral:lncRNA from 1 species
CUUUGACCCAUCUCUGGAUUGCGAGAGCAAUUCCUAGCAGCAAGGGACUCCAUAACUGAGGACACCCUAGAGUGAGCUGGGCACCAAGACCGCCAGGCCUUCACCUCCAGGGGAGUGAGGAGAGCAUGCAGAGCUUCCCCGGCCAUGGAACUGUGCAGAGGGGCUUGGCAGGGUGCAGCGGGGCCUGGGAGCUCAGCAAGUGGGCCUCACCACCCUCACCUUGAGGAGGCACUUCUGUUUGGAGCAAGGGCCAGAGAGUUCUCCAGGGUGUCAAGCAGAUGUCUACAAUCUCAGUUGAGACUUAGACGUUGAUUUUUGCCUGAGGGUGGGCAGCAAAACUGACCUCAGCUCUCAACCCAUGUGCCCAGGGCUCUGCCUCCAAUUUUCUAAGUGACCUUGGGCAAAACCUCAGUUUCCCUACCAUGAAAGGAGAUGACAGGUACCUUCAGUGCCGGUCAAGCACUUGCUCCUGGAGCCCUGGUUGUGGGUGGGGAGUGCUCAGGUUCACAGCCCACAGGCCCAACAGCAGAACCCAGCUGGGAGAGGCGGGGUCCGCAGGCUUUGAAGCUGGAGGGGGCCACAUCCUGAAAUGGCUAAAGGACGAAAACCCAGCCUCUCUCCUCCUAAGGACAAGGACAGGAGACAGUGAUUUGGAUGUCAUCACUCACCUACCAAACUGCACCAACUUGCCCCAACACCCUAGAAUCAGAAUCCCUUGCGCUGGCCAAGGGGAAUGGACACUCCCCAGUGGUAGCAGACAGUCUGGACUGUCCGCCAGUGGUGGAUGGUGGCUCAGGUGUGGGACCCACAUCCUUCCCUUUGAUCCAAGUUUGUCUGCUUCUAAAUCCAGAGGGAGGAUGGAGAUGUGACCAGAGCUCAGGGCGCGGAGCUCACAUGCCUCAGAGCCCUGCAUGGGACGCUGCCAGCGUCCAGCAGAGGGGACUUCUCGUCCCUGGCACAGCCAGCGCUCUGAAGCCAUUUAAAAUGAUGGUGUCUGAUGAAGCUCCCAGACUGCCAUCAACGCUCCUUAGAGGACCAUGAACCGUGUUAGUGGGGUAGGUUAGGAUUUUAAGUAAAAUAACCUUAGAGAGAGGCUUCCCAGGCAGGGCCAGUGUCGGGUGAACUGCAGUGUGUGUUUGUGUAUGUGUUUGAGGACACUGUGUCCUGUGUGAAUGGUGUCCCAGAGGGGGAGGAGAGGCGGCUGGAAGAAAGGCCAAGGGACAGGCCAGGGGACACCGGCCAGAGGUUUCUGGUAUGCCAGUGUCAGAGAUGGAAGCCGAGACAGCCCAGACACCGGUGCAGGUGGCUCUGGACCUCUGACACCCCUGCUGAGCACUCCCUGUUCCUGGGGGUGGGGGGCCCUACACCUCAGGGACAGAGGACUGGCCCAAACCCCAGGCUUGUUACCACUCACUGUCCAGGAGGGGUCUUUGCACCCCAUUUCCCACUCAGCUUGGGAAAGCUGUAGUGCCACCUCAGAGCCCCUCUGCAGAUAGAUCACCCCCAGUGCACACUGGUGACAGCCCAUGGACAACUGUACCCUGGUCCCCAGGCUGGCUGUGCCAGGCAGUCACCUCACCCUGUCUGCUGCUCUGUGGGAGGCCAGGCUCUAGGGGCGCCUCUCAGGCCUAAUGCCCUCCUGGCUGAGCUGGCAGAGCGUGGGCAGCCUCUAGCUGUGCUGGAGGUUUCUAUACAAAGUCUCUGGAACCUUCUCCAGGCCCCGCCUCCACCUUUGGGUUCCUGGUUCGCACUCGCACACGGGGCCCCAGUCCUGGCC